UACGUAUGGUGCAAGCGUUGUCCGGAAUUAUUGGGCGUAAAGAGCUCGUAGGCGGUUUGUCGCGUCUGCUGUGAAAACUCGGGGCUUAACCCCGGGCCUGCAGUGGGUACGGGCAGACUAGAGUGCGGUAGGGGAGACUGGAAUUCCUGGUGUAGCGGUGAAAUGCGCAGAUAUCAGGAGGAACACCGGUGGCGAAGGCGGGUCUCUGGGCCGUAACUGACGCUGAGGAGCGAAAGCGUGGGGAGCGAACAGG
rnacentral:rRNA from 1 species